CCUACGGGAGGCAGCAGUGAGGAAUUUUGGUCAAUGGACGAGAGUCUGAACCAGCCAAGUAGCGUGAAGGAUGACUGCCCUAUGGGUUGUAAACUUCUUUUAUAAAGGAAUAAAACGAGGCACGUGUGCCUUUUUGCAUGUACUUUAUGAAUAAGGAUCGGCUAACUCCGUGCCAGCAGCCGCGGUAAUACGGAGGAUCCGAGCGUUAUCCGGAUUUAUUGGGUUUAAAGGGAGCGUAGAUGGGUUGUUAAGUUAGUUGUGAAAGUCUGCGGCUCAACCGUGAAAUUGCAAUUGAUACUGGCAGUCUUGAGUACAGUUGAGGUAGGCGGAAUUCGUGGUGUAGCGGUGAAAUGCAUAGAGAUCACGCAGAACCCCGAUUGCGAAGGCAGCUUACUAAACUGUGACUGACAUUGAUGCACGAAAGUGUGGGUAGCAAACAGGAUUAGAUACCCCUGUAGUC
rnacentral:rRNA from 1 species